UUUGACUUUAAACUAACAACUAACAACUGUAUUCAUUCCUACAACACAAGAUCCUGCAACAACCUUCAUCUUCCAAAAGCCAACACGAACUGGGGUAAACUUAGACCGACUUACUACGCUUCGAUGGACUUCAACAAUUUGAACAGCUCAGUUGCAAACGUUAGUUCUCUGUUUCAAUUUAAGACUCAAUUAAAUCUACUUCGUACUUAGACACAGUUAUUGCAUG